GCGUGUGUCUACAGUGCCAGUAAAAAGUUUGGACACACUUACUCAUUCAAGGGUUUUUACUUUAUUUUGACUAUUUUCCACAUUGUAGAAUUAAAAACUAUGAAAUAGCACACAUGUAGUCAUGUAGUAACAAAAAAAGUGUUAAACAAAUCAAAAUAUAUUCAAUAUUUGAGAUUCUUAGUAGCCACCCUUUGCCUUGAUGACAGCUUUGCACACUCUUGGCAUUCUCUCAACCAACUUCACCGUGAAUGCUUUUCCAACCGUCUUGAUGCAGUUCCCACAUAUGCUGAACACUUGUUGGCUGCUUUUCCUUCACUCUGUGGUCCGACUCAUCCCAAACCAUCUCAAUUGGGUUGAGGUCAGUGAUUGUGGAGGCCAGGUCAUCUGAUGCAGCACUCCAUCACUCUCCUUAUUGGUCAAAUAGCCCUUACAUAGCCUAGUAGCCAUUGUCCUGUUGAAAAAUAAAUGAUAGUCCCACUAAACUCAAACCAUUCAUUGCCCAACAAUUUCAAAUGCAAUCGCCUGUUAAAAACUGUUUCUAUAUGUGCUCAGGCACGCACUUCCUCAACAUUAUCAUAACAGAGAAACCAGACACAUGCUCAUUGCUCACAUGGAGCACUCCAAACAAAAGGCAAAUGAACUAAUUUCAAAUCUAGAAAAUUAUUGUUAUAAAAUUAAACCAAAACUUCUCACAAGUGUAGCAGCUUGUGAACUCUCCAAAAAACAUUUCCACUCCAAGAAUGAGAAUGGUAAAUGACUGUAAUUAAUACAUGCAUUAACAUAAAUUAAUGUAACCAAAUGAUCAGGAUAAACGGUACAUUUACUACUGGUGACAUGUGUAAUGGGGAAUAGAUUUUUUUUAAAUUAAAAGGGCAAACAAUUCACAAAAUGAAACAAUGAAUGAAUUGGAGGGAGACAGCUGAGCCAUUCUGGAGAGCGACUCGCCUAUAUCGCCACACACCCCUCCCCCUCUUCUUGUCUCAACGUUUUAAAUUACACUCAAGACACAUUAUCUUCACACAUAUUUUAAAGAUACUUUUCACUGAUAGCCGAAACUCAAUAAUCAGCUAUGCCUAUGGUCACACACGCUGCCCAAAUAGUGGGCUUCCCAAACAGGCCUACGAGCUUGUGAUUUGAAACAAUCCACAGCAAUUUUUUAAAAGAAGCGAUUGAUCCUCUAUUCUUCUGUGGCUAAGUAAUGCUUUCUGGUGAAGUUGUUUGAAUGAUUUUGUUUAUAGACACGAUUCUGUGUAUAGACAGGAGUAAUUAUAUCAUUUUGGCUCAUUUAUUUCCAUUUACUUCCUUAUUGGGCCCACCGCUAUGACAUUUCUCUCCUGUUCUAUUGGUUUUCAUAUUUAUUUUGUUGUCCAGAAGCCAAAGGAACAAUCCCAGUCAUAUUAUCCCUUUCUAAGAUUCUGACAGAGAUUUUUAUCUCUUUCACUUAUGGAACCGCUAUCAGGUGGUCUGUUUAGAAUGGUGUUUUCCCAGGUGUUCUGUUUAGAAUGGUGUUUUCCCAGGUGGUCUGUUUAGAAUGGUGUUUUCCCAGGUGUUCUGUUUAGAAUGGUGUUUUCCCAGGUGUUCUGUUUAGAAUGGUGUUUUCCCAGGUGUUCUGUUUAGAAUGGUGUUUUCCCAGGUGUUCUGUUUAGAAUGGUGUUUUCCCAGGUGUUCUGUUUAGAAUGGUGUUUUCCCAGGUGGUCUGUUUAGAAUGGUGUUUUCCCAGGUGGUCUGUUUAGAAUGGUGUUUUACCAGGUGGUCUGUUUAGAAUGGUGUUUUCCCAGGUGGUCUGUUUAGAAUGGUGUUUUCCCGCGGAUCGCCUUCUGGCAAAAGUUUGAAAAUGACCUUUUACUGGCUGCUUCAUUACACGAGUUGUUGAGAUGCAUUACCUUAACAUCCUGUUAAGAUGCAUUACCAUAAUCUAAAUGUGAUCUCUGUCAUUCUGAGCACCGUGGGUUAUGCACCCAAUGCAUAUGGGUAAUGUAUAUUUUGCAAAUGGCCGGUAAAUUCAAAUCUUCCCGGUCAAGGGAAUGUGUGCGUGCCUGUGCAUGCAUUAUGUAUUUGGGGGGCAGAAUCAGUAAAGCAUUAAUAAAUAUAUUAUACACUUACGCACAGUUGAGUGAUAUGAUGUCCUUUGUGUGGGGUCACACCCCUCUAGGACUACCCCUACACACACACUGAUGGUGUCAUCACUCAGGAUCAGAUGACAGGGUGUGGCUGACACACUACCCCCUGCAGUAAGUAGCAUAAUAGGGUAACUAACGUGUGACGUGUGUCACGCUUGGUGCCCAAAAAGGGCAUUCUGAAAUUAAUUUGUGACACAUAAAAACAAGACUUUAUUCAGGUAGUUGAAUGGACAGCAAUACAAUUUCUCCACCAUCAAAUUGAAAAACAAAGUAUGUAAUUCUGUCGUCAGGAGUUUCCCAUCUUAAUGUAAUAUCUUGGUGAAAUGUCUGGUCAUCUUCCCUAUGAGUAGAGUUCUUACCUAACAAUGUAUGGCGCUUUCUGCACUUGGGAACAUGAUUCAUUUAGCUAAUCCAUUAUCAACGGUUAUGUAACAGAACAGGACAGAACGAUAUAAAGGGCAGGUCAUGGGUCAUCUUCACUUGGACGUGGGGGUGUGUUUGUUUGGAGGGAUAGUAACUAAGCCCACUUACGCACAUGUGGACCUCAAACCCUAACAUUCCCCAAAUUCCAAAGCACACACACACACAGAUGUCAGGGCAUCUAGAGGUAGCCAUUAUGUGUGUAUUAAGUAUGGGUAGGUGUGUUAUUGGGGGGGUGGGGAAUCCCCCAGUGACAUCAUAGCAUGGUGGUAGGCUGUGCCAGUUGAGGAUAUGCCUACUCUGCCUGAUCCUCUGAAGUAGAAUGUGGGAGUCUGUAUGUUCACCAUUUCAUAGAUUGAUAAAGGACAGGAUGCAUUCCAGUGAAAAGUGUGUAUUCUUCCAUUUAAUUAACCGUGUUUAACCAAACAAAAACAGAACCCCGUGUUAUUUGAUCGCUGAAAUAGGGGCUUAGGCAUUUGAUCUCACUGGGGGUUUUGUUGUCUGUUCUUCUCUC